rnacentral:pre_miRNA from 1 species
UCUUUGGUGGUCUAGCUGUAUGACUGUGUUCGACUCAUAAAGCUAGAUCAGCAAGGC